rnacentral:rRNA from 1 species
CAAGGUGAGACCUAAUUGGCCUGAAGAAGAGCUUGCGUCUGAUUAGCUAGUUGGUGGGGUAAAGGCCUACCAAGGCGACGAUCAGUAGCUGGUCUGAGAGGAUGAGCAGCCACACUGGGACUGAGACACGGCCCAGACUCCUACGGGAGGCAGCAGUGGGGAAUUUUCCGCAAUGGGCGAAAGCCUGACGGAGCAACGCCGCGUGAGGGAGGAAGGUCUUUGGAUUGUAAACCUCUUUUCUCAAGGAAGAAGUUCUGACGGUACUUGAGGAAUCAGCCUCGGCUAACUCCGUGCCAGCAGCCGCGGUAAUACGAGGGAGGCAAGCGUUAUCCGGAAUUAUUGGGCGUAAAGCGUCCGCAGGUGGUCAGCCAGGUCUGCC